rnacentral:tRNA from 1 species
AUUUAUAUAGUUUAACAAAAACAUUACAUUUUCAUUGUAAAAACAAAAUUUAAAUAUUUUUAUAAAUU